rnacentral:rRNA from 1 species
AGUUGAUCCUGGCUCAGACGAACGCUGGCGGCAGGCCUAACACAUGCAAGUCGAGCGCCCCGCAAGGGGAGCGGCGCACGGGUGAGUAACGCGUGGGAAUAUGCCCUGGGGCUGGGGAUAACGGCGGGAAACUGCCGCUAAUACCCGGUACGCCAUGAGUGGGAAAGGAGCAAUCCGCCCUGGGAGUAGCCCGCGUUGGAUUAGCUAGUUGGUGAGGUAAAGGCUCACCAAGGCGACGAUCUGUAGCGGGUCUGAGAGGAUGAUCCGCCACACUGGAACUGAGACACGGUCCAGACUCCUACGGGAGGCAGCAGUGGGGAAUUUUGGACAAUGGGCGCAAGCCUGAUCCAGCCAUGCCGCGUGAGUGAAGAAGGCCUUCGGGUUGUAAAGCUCUUUCGGCCGGGAAGAAAUCGCACAGGUUAAUACCCUGUGUGGAUGACGGUACCGGAAUAAGAAGCACCGGCUAACUACGUG